UGGCGCCUACAGCGGGCCAGCGCCGGCCGGCCCUGCCCAACCCAGCCCAACCCAGCUCGGAGAGCGCCCAAGGAGCGGAACCUGAUUUGGAGUCCCAGCGAUGCUGCUUGCUCCAGAGGGACUUGGAGCCCGUCACUGCACCUGAGCCGGGUCUGGUCUUCAGAAUUCAAGAGCCUCAGGCCACCCUUUUUGUUGAGUAUCUGCUGAGUACCAGGCCUCAUUUUAGGCACCAAAAGAUGACAGAAUCCAGUCGAGUCACUCAUGAGGUGUCGGUAGCCUAUAAAUGAGAGGAGCUCUCUCCACGAGCUGACCCCUCUACUAGACCACUGAGCUUGUAGUUGAAUAAGAGCUCACCUGUAUAUUCAGCAUACAGUUCUGCAGUGUAUAUUUUCCUGCAUUCUAUGCCAAGGUGAAGACAUUGAAUUUCAAAGAAGAAAUGGAACCCACCCACACCUUCAGGCACCAAAGCUCAUGCUCUUUCUGUGGCAUUGACAAGCCUUCUGGGAGAUUCCAAGUCUCAGAGGAUUCCAAUUGACUCUGCUUGAGUAACAGGUCUACCUCUGGGACCAGGCAUGUUGCAUGGAGCAAUUGGCUGCCAUAUUUGGCCAGACUUAGGUAACUGUCCAUCACUGUACUAGUAGGAACAGUCACUGACAGUCCCAAUAGAACCACAUAAGCCCAAAAAAAUGUUUGUUUGUUUUUUUAAGAAAAUGUAUUUUACAAAUAGGAGGAAAGAUCAGGUAGUGGAAGUGACUGUUUUUAUUAAGGUUACUCACAUGCUGAUCUUACUCAUUUUCCAAAUUAGCUGAAAGAGAUCAGGGAUUACAAUUAAUACUAGCUUUUCCUGAAAACCUGUAUAUCAUGGCCUGUGCCUUUUAUGUGCAUUAUUAUAGAUAUCUGCGCUUGCAUCUUCACUGUUGUUCAAGAAUGUUGGACCUGAUUCUUGCUUUGGGUAGAAAUAGCAGCUGUGGUUCCCUGGACACUCACACUUGGCCUUCUAGGUUCUCUGUGGCCUGUUUCCCACAGCUGGCUUACCUCCUGCAUAAUGCUCCAGUCUAAUUCAAGUCAUGCAUGUAUUAAACACCCAGCACUUCCCCCUGGAGCCUGCAGUCUCUCUUUGGGCGUUAAAUGAAUGAGACUUUCAAACACAGGGUUACUCACCAGGUGGAGUGCCAAGGGGCCAAUUCUAAAAUAGGACUGGGUCUACACAGUCUGGGCUGAGCAUUGGACAAAUGACCAGCGGCUGGACCGGAUUCCCUCCAGAGGCCCUGGAGAACUGGGAGGUCUGUGUUUCAAUGGUUCUGGGAGAAGGAAGAAUGUUCCCAAGUCAUGGCUUCUCCUUGGAUUAGAUCCAGCCUGCACAAGAGCCACUUGGGGCCCAAGUUAUCUAAGUAAACACUGAUUCCUUGACGAGUUUCCAAAGUCAGAAACACAGUCACUGUUUGGUUUGAACAGGCUGUGCUCUGUAAACCUCUGCUUGUGUAUCGCUAGGGCCCCAUGUAAAUAUUUUAGCUACAGAUUGCAAGAACACAACUUCUUUUAAAAUCCCAUCACUUCAUCGGUAGACUUAUAAUAUGAAUUAUGUGUUGUCUCUGUGUGUUGUUAGACUUAAAAUGAAUUAUGUGUUAUUUCUGUUUGUUGGGAGGUCCAGUUCUCUGACUUGAUUACAAGCAUCUCAGAUGUAUCUCGACUGAGACUGUUGGGGUUUAGGGAAAGCCUAAUAGACGGCUCACCCUGCUUCCUGAUGGAACUCAAAAUGAGGUGUACACUCAAGUAGGUGGAGCCGAAAACAUUUUAUUUCCAAUAAAGUUGAUUAUGAAGAAGUGGGCUUUGAGUGUCAGAGGCGCUUGUAAUUUCUCAUCCUAGAGUAUGGCAGGCUUACCCACCCAAUCGGAAACAGCCCAUAAGUCAGGAGACAAGACUGCCAUCCAACUGAAGAAAUGGAGGUGAGGAAGAAAAAGUGUGUUGCCUAAAAGAAGGAAGGAGCGGGCUGGGGAUUUAGCUCAGUGGUACCACUGCCUGCUUCACAAGCACAACGUCCCAAGUUCAA